rnacentral:rRNA from 1 species
GAACGCUUUGUUUUUAUUGAUAUGAAGAGCUUGCUCUGAUUUGAUUUUAUCUGACAAAGAGUGGCGAACGGGUGAGUAACACGUGGGUAACCUACCUCUUAGCAGGGGAUAACAUUUGGAAACAAGUGCUAAUACCGUAUAACACUAACAACCGCAUGGUUGUUAGUUGAAAGAUGGUUCUGCUAUCACUAAGAGAUGGACCCGCGGUGCAUUAGCUAGUUGGUAAGGUAAUGGCUUACCAAGGCGAUGAUGCGUAGCCGAGUUGAGAGACUGAUCGGCCACAAUGGGACUGAGACACGGCCCAUACUCCUACGGGAGGCAGCAGUAGGGAAUCUUCCACAAUGGGCGCAAGCCUGAUGGAGCAACGCCGCGUGUGUGAUGAAGGGUUCCGGCUCGUAAAACACUGUUAUAAGAGAAGAACGACAUUGAGAGUAACUGUUCAGUGUGUGACGGUAUCUUAUCAGAAAGGAACGGCUAAAUACGUGCCAGCAGCCGCGGUAAUACGUAUGUUCCAAGCGUUAUCCGGAUUUAUUGGGCGUAAAGCGAGCGCAGACGGUUAUUUAAGUCUGAAGUGAAAGCCCUCAGCUCAACUGAGGAAGGGCUUUGGAAACUGGAUAACUUGAGUGCAGUAGAGGAAAGUGGAACUCCAUGUGUAGCGGUGAAAUGCGUAGAUAUAUGGAAGAACACCGGUGGCGAAAGCGGCUUUCUGGACUGUAACUGACGUUGAGGCUCGAAAGUGUGGGUAGCAAACAGGAUUAGAUACCCUGGUAGUCCACACCGUAAACGAUGAGUGCUAGAUGU